ensembl:snRNA U6 U6 spliceosomal RNA
GUACUCGCUUUGGCAGUACAUGUACUAAAAUUGGAACAAUACAGAGAAGAUUAGCAGGGCCCCUGUACAAGGAUGACACACAGAUUCAUGAUGUGUUCUUUAUUUUU